AAGUCGUAACAAGGUUUCCGUAGGUGAACCUGCGGAAGGAUCAUUAACACGUAUCCAUCGUUAAACCCCCCCCCGUGAAUAUUAAUCGUGCUCUUGCAUCCUCCCAAUCAGCAAUCUCUGGUAAAUCACGUCGAACGGUUUGAUUCAGAGACCUCUGCGCUGUGGAUGUCUGCUGACGCUAAAGGUCCAAUCGAGCGCUAGGAUCAGUGGUUUGGUUUCCCCUCACGAGCCGGCGUCCAAAUCACCGGGCGCCCCCCUAAAACCACAUGUCAGCGUAGGCCCUUCUGUCGUGGUUGGGCGUAAAAACGAACAACUGUUAACAAUGGAUAUCUUGGUUCUC
rnacentral:misc_RNA from 1 species